UAAUAAUUUACCUUUUUAUUAGUUUUAAAACGGCUUUUUAUCGAUUUCUGGUGGAAGCAAGAUUCAUUUUAACGAAAGUGUUACGUAUUGGCUGUUUUUUGUGUGUUCCGUCGCGUGUAGUAUUUUAAAAGUGUGUGAAAAACUUAAAAUUGUGGUUAAGGUGUUUUUACACAGACAAGACGACAAAAGACAAUAAACAAUAAUGGUGAUCUCGUGUGUUGCUUAUGGUUGCAAUAAUGAGCAGGAUAGGCGAAAAAUUCCGUUUCAUACUUUUCCUUUUAAACGACCUGAAAUAUUAAAGCUUUGGAUUCAGGCUCUUCGUAGAGAUAAGUAGACACCAUCUAAAACUAGCCGGCUAUGUGAGGAACAUUUUCUUCCAACAGACUACAUUAAUCAGCCAGGACUGGCUGUUAAAAGAUUAAAGCCUGAUGCUGUACCAAGUGUGUUUUCUUUUCCAAAACACUUGUUACCAAAAGCCAAUGCUCCUCGUAGAAAAAUAAUAAAACAGAUUUCUACUACAAGCGUUCACACUGAAAGUGAAUUAAUGGAUAUUGAUUUACCUUUAGCUUCAACAUCAACUACUCCAGCCAAUAGAAAUGAAAAGUUUGGG